rnacentral:rRNA from 1 species
CUACGGCUGAACCAGCAACUUGGAGGAAUGUAUAGCUACGGCUAAUUGUGUAUAACUACACGAUAUCGACUCUGUCGAAUAAAAUUCUGGAUAAAUUAUGAUAAUGACAUUUUUUACCCAUGUGUCUUGACCAAAUUGUGUGCCAGCAGUCGCGGUAAUACAUAGAAGACUAGUGUUAUUCAUCUUUAAUAGGUUUAAAGGGUACCUAGACGGUAGAUCAAGCCCUAGACGGGACUAAUUUGCUAGAGUUACUUAUGAGGGGGCUUUAAAGUACUAAUGGUGUAGAGAUAAAAUUUUGUAAUACCAUUUUUCGUAAAGAAAAGUUAUGGCACUGGUAAAGGUGAAAGCAUCCCCCUAUGUGA